rnacentral:rRNA from 1 species
ACAUGCAGUCGAACGAUGAAGCCCAGCUUGCUGGGUGGAUUAGUGGCGAACGGGUGAGUAACACGUGAGCAACCUGCCCCUGACUCUGGGAUAAGCGCUGGAAACGGCGUCUAAUACUGGAUACGAACAAGAAUCGCAUGGUUACUUGUUGGAAAGAUUUUUCGGUUGGGGAUGGGCUCGCGGCCUAUCAGCUUGUUGGUGAGGUAAUGGCUCACCAAGGCGUCGACGGGUAGCCGGCCUGAGAGGGUGACCGGCCACACUGGGACUGAGACACGGCCCAGACUCCUACGGGAGGCAGCAGUGGGGAAUAUUGCACAAUGGGCGGAAGCCUGAUGCAGCAACGCCGCGUGAGGGAUGACGGCCUUCGGGUUGUAAACCUCUUUUAGCAGGGAAGAAGCGAGAGUGACGGUACCUGCAGAAAAAGCACCGGCUAACUACGUGCCAGCAGCCGCGGUAAUACGUAGGGUGCAAGCGUUAUCCGGAAUUAUUGGGCGUAAAGAGCUCGUAGGCGGUUUGUCGCGUCUGCUGUGAAAUCUGGGGGCUCAACCCCCAGCCUGCAGUGGGUACGGGCAGACUAGAGUGCGGUAGGGGAGAUUGGAAUUCCUGGUGUAGCGGUGGAAUGCGCAGAUAUCAGGAGGAACACCGAUGGCGAAGGCAGAUCUCUGGGCCGUAACUGACGCUGAGGAGCGAAAGGGUGGGGAGCAAACAGGCUUAGAUACCCUGGUAGUCCACCCCGUAAACGUUGGGAACUAGUUGUGGGGUCCAUUCCACGGAUUCCGUGACGCAGCUAACGCAUUAAGUUCCCCGCCUGGGGAGUACGGCCGCAAGGCUAAAACUCAAAGGAAUUGACGGGGACCCGCACAAGCGGCGGAGCAUGCGGAUUAAUUCGAUGCAACGCGAAGAACCUUACCAAGGCUUGACAUAUACGAGAACGGGCCAGAAAUGGUCAACUCUUUGGACACUCGUAAACAGGUGGUGCAUGGUUGUCGUCAGCUCGUGUCGUGAGAUGUUGGGUUAAGUCCCGCAACGAGCGCAACCCUCGUUCUAUGUUGCCAGCACGUAAUGGUGGGAACUCAUGGGAUACUGCCGGGGUCAACUCGGAGGAAGGUGGGGAUGACGUCAAAUCAUCAUGCCCCUUAUGUCUUGGGCUUCACGCAUGCUACAAUGGCCGGUACAAUGGGCUGCAAUACCGUGAGGUGGAGCGAAUCCCAAAAAGCCGGUCCCAGUUCGGAUUGAGGUCUGCAACUCGACCUCAUGAAGUCGGAGUCGCUAGUAAUCGCAGAUCAGCAACGCUGCGGUGAAUACGUUCCCGGGUCUUGUACACACCGCCCGUCAAGUCAUGAAAGUCGGUAACACCUGAAGCCGGUGGCCUAACCCCUUGUGGGAGGGAGC